UACGUAGGGGGCUAGCGUUGUCCGGAAUCAUUGGGCGUAAAGAGCGUGUAGGCGGCCAGGUAGGUCCGCUGUGAAAACUCGAGGCUCAACCUCGAGAUGUCGGCGGAAACCAUCUGGCUAGAGUCCGGAAGAGGAGAGUGGAAUUCCUGGUGUAGCGGUGAAAUGCGCAGAUAUCAGGAGGAACACCGGUGGCGAAGGCGGGUCUCUGGGCCGAUACUGACGCUGAGGAGCGAAAGCGUGGGGAGCGAACAGG
rnacentral:rRNA from 1 species